GUUCAAUUGGUGCAAGGCUAAUUGAACAUGAAGUUAGACACAUAAUUGCACAAUUUUGAUGAAGGAACCCCAUUCAGAAAACAAACUUAGGAUGCCCUAAAAAUUGACCAAAUCUGGGUAACACACUGUCUACCUGGGCAAAAUAACCAAAUGAACAGUAUUCAUUCAUUUGGUCAUAACUUAAUGUAGAAAGGUCCAAUUGACCUAA
rnacentral:misc_RNA from 1 species